AGAGUUUGAUCCUGGCUCAGAUUGAACGCUGGCGGCAGGCCUAACACAUGCAAGUCGAGCGGAUGAAGGGAGCUUGCUCCUGGAUUCAGCGGCGGACGGGUGAGUAAUGCCUAGGAAUCCGCCUGGUAGUGGGGGACAACGUUUCGAAAGGAACGCUAAUACCGCAUACGUCCUACGGGAGAAAGCAGGGGACCUUCGGGCCUUGCGCUAUCAGAUGAGCCUAGGUCGGAUUAGCUAGUUGGUGAGGUAAUGGCUCACCAAGGCGACGAUCCGUAACUGGUCUGAGAGGAUGAUCAGUCACACUGGAACUGAGACACGGUCCAGACUCCUACGGGAGGCAGCAGUGGGGAAUAUUGGACAAUGGGCGAAAGCCUGAUCCAGCCAUGCCGCGUGUGUGAAGAAGGUCUUCGGAUUGUAAAGCACUUUAAGUUGGGAGGAAGGGUUGUAGAUUAAUACUCUGCAAUUUGACGUACCGAC
rnacentral:rRNA from 1 species